AGUCACGCUUGAAGUCACCAGACUUGACCGUGCCACCAGCCCCUGUGAUUGAAUGGCUUGGCUGGCCACAACCGUCAAACUUACUUUCUGGAGACCCUAACAGCUCGGAGCCGGAGACCGGACAUUUACCUCAGAGCUCUGUGCUUCACUUUGGAGGAACAAGGAGGGAAAAGGGCAAUGCCACCUCCCAUUUGGGCUCCUCUCCUGCCUCCAUGACAGAAGGGGGCCACCAGGUUUUUCAAGGGGGAAGAAAGUCAGGCUCCAUGGUUCCUGGGAUGCGAUGCUGUCCAGGAACAGCCACCAACCAAACUCCAACUGUGCUGCUGUGACCAAAGGACCUUGGUCCCAAGGUAUUUUCUGAAGGGCUCACAAAUAAAGUGAGAGAGCUCCUGGGACUAUGCUAGUGCUGGGUGUGAGAUCCACCUGGCCCCAGCCCCAGUCCUUGAUGGAGGCUGAGUUCAUCCUUGUGGCUGUCUCUCAAAGUCGACUCACUGGCCUGGCAGCACGGGACGCAGCCUGAAAGUACUGUCAAGCUGCGGACAUUUCCUAUCAUUUCACAUUCCCAAGUGGGGCCACAUCCUGGAGACAGCGUUUGUUUUGAUGGCUGGUGACAGUGUUCCAGAGGCUGGUUCUGCAGGGCACCACGGCUUGCUCGUCAGCCCCAGGCCUCCUCUCCACCCCCUUGGUCAAGGGCCAGAGAAGCCUGGGUUAACUCAGACACCCAGGCAGAGAAGGCCUUUCUGAUUGGGUGCCUCAGCUUUGUCAUAGAUACUGCCGCUGCCCAAAGAGCACCUUGUCUUCCAUCCUGAUGGCUGUAGACACAUGCUUGCUGCAAAAGUAGUUCCCUGAGGUCAAGGCCAUCCUUCUAGAACAUGCUGUCUUCAGCCGGGCACCUAAUAUAUAUAUAGCUGACACGUGAACCUGCCCUGCGGCCUUUCAAAGGGUGCUUCUUUAUUUACCUAAUAUAAUUCACUUCCCUUUCUGAAGUCAGGCCACCAGCACCUAUCCGACAGCACCCAGCACAUCCCAGACUUCAGCUCUGGGAGGUAGUUGAGACAAGGAGCUUGCAUUCUGCUGAGGGAACAUGUUGAAAAACUCAGGAAAUAGGAAGUGCUUAAAAAUGGAGACAGCUCCAUUGGUAAAGCACUUGCUGGGAAAGCAUGAGGGCCUGAGUUCAAUUCCCAGAACCUGAGUUUAAAAAAAAAUAAUAAUAACAAUAAUACUAG